rnacentral:rRNA from 1 species
CGGACGGGUGAGUAAUGUCUGGGAAACUGCCUGAUGGAGGGGGAUAACUACUGGAAACGGUAGCUAAUACCGCACAACGUCGCAAGACCAAAGAGGGGGACCCUCGGGCCUCUUGCCAUCGGAUGUGCCCAGAUGGGAUUAGCUAGUAGGUGAGGUAACGGCUCACCUAGGCGACGAUCCCUAGCUGGUCUGAGAGGAUGACCAGCCACACUGGAACUGAGACACGGUCCAGACUCCUACGGGAGGCAGCAUG